rnacentral:misc_RNA from 1 species
GAGAGAGAGAGAGAGAGAGAAGCCUCAAAUUGUUUUAUUGACAAUUUAAGGAUAUAUACUUUCAACUUUUUGCACUUAACUCACAAAAUGAAAAAUGCAUUAAAAUGGCCGAGAUGGCAAUGAUGUCUAAUGUGACUGACGUCAGCAUGUCACAUCAGACAUGAUGCUGACAUCAACGUGUCAUGUUAGACGUGACACUGACGUCAGCACACUACGUAGGCGACACUAACACCGUCAGUUUUUCCUCUAAAGUGUUAAUAGCGCAGUAGUAGAAUUCAUGAAUUGUACGAAAAUCUCUUUAGACCUUAAAGUGCAAAUGCCCAAAAGUACAGAGAACUAAAGUGUAUUUUGCCCUAUAUUUUUUUGGUUCUAGUUUAAACAUAGAUAAGGCCUCACCAUGCAAAUGAAAUCCCAAGGAU